rnacentral:rRNA from 1 species
UACAGAGGGUGCAAGCGUUGUUCGGAAUUAUUGGGCGUAAAGCGCGUGUAGGCGGCUUUGCAAGUCGGGUGUGAAAGCCCUCGGCUCAACCGAGGAACUGCGCCCGAGACUGCUUCUCUUGAGUCCCGGAGAGGAAGAUGGAAUUCCCGGUGUAGCGGUGAAAUGUGUAGAGAUCGGGAGGAACACCAGUGGCGAAGGCGGCGACCUGGGCCAAUAUUGACGCUGAGGUGCGAAAGCGUGGGGGAGCAAACAGGG